rnacentral:rRNA from 1 species
GACGAACGCUGGCGGCGUGCUUAACACAUGCAAGUCGAGCGGUAAGGCCCUUUCGGGGGUACACGAGCGGCGAACGGGUGAGUAACACGUGGGUGACCUGCCCUCAGCUCUGGGAUAAGCCUGGGAAACCGGGUCUAAUACUGGAUAUGACUCCAUGACGCAUGUUGUGGGGUGGAAAGCCUUGUGCGGCUGAGGAUGGGCCCGCGGCCUAUCAGCUUGUUGGUGGGGUGAGGCCUACCAAGGCGACGACGGGUAGCCGGCCUGAGAGGGCGACCGGCCACACUGGGACUGAGACACGGCUCA